rnacentral:piRNA from 1 species
UCAGGUGUCAACUGAAACAGCAGCAUUCC